UACGGAGGGUGCAAACGUUGCUCGGAAUCAUUGGGCGUAAAGCGCACGUAGGCGGUCGGCUAUGUCGGAUGUGAAAGCCUCGGGCUUAACCCGAGAAGGGCAUCCGAAACUGGCCGGCUUGAGUACGGAAGAGGGUCUCGGAAUUCCCGGUGUAGAGGUGAAAUUCGUAGAUAUUCGGAAGAACACCAGUGGCGAAGGCGACUUACUGGACACAUAUUGACGCUGAGGUGCGAAAGCGUGGGGAGCAAACAGG
rnacentral:rRNA from 1 species